rnacentral:rRNA from 1 species
GAUGAACGCUGGCGGCGUGCCUAAUACAUGCAAGUCGAGCGAACAGACGAGGAGCUUGCUCCUCUGACGUUAGCGGCGGACGGGUGAGUAACACGUGGAUCACCUACCUAUAUGACUGGGAUAACUUCGGGAAUCCGGAGCUAAUACCGGAUAAUAUAUUGAACCGCAUGGGUCAUUAGUGAAAGACGGUUUUGCUGUCUCUUAUAGAUGGAUCCGCGCCGGAUUAGCUAGUUGGUAAGGUAACGGCUUUCCAAGGCUACCAUGCGUAACCGACCGGAGAGGGUGAUCGGCCACACUGGAACGGAGACACGGUCCAGACUCCUACGGGAGGCAGCAGUAGGGAAUCGUCCGCAGUGGGCGAAAGCCUGACGGAGCAACGCCGCGUGAGUUAUGAAGGUCUUCGGAUCGUAAAACUCUGUUAUUAGGGAAGAACAAAUGUGUAAGUAACUAUGCACGUCUUGACGGUACCUAAUCAGAAAGCCACGGCUAACUACGUG